CGGAUUGUAGUCUGCAACUCGACUACAUGAAGCUGGAAUCGCUAGUAAUCGCAGAUCAGAAUGCUGCGGUGAAUACGUUCCCGGGUCUUGUACACACCGCCCGUCACACCAUGGGAGUCGGGAAUGCCCGAAGUCAGUGACCCAACCGCAAGGAGGGAGCUGCCGAAGGCAGGCUCGAUAACUGGGGUGAAGUCGUAACAAGGUACC
rnacentral:rRNA from 1 species